GUGCUUCCUUCAGAGUCACAUAUAUAAAAUUGGAAAGAUGCAGAUAUGAGCAUGGCCCCUGCACAAAGGUUACAUGCAAAUUCCAUAUUUUUUAAUAAAUUAG
ensembl:snRNA U6 U6 spliceosomal RNA